GCGCGAUACACGAACAGACAAAGAAGUCGUCUUUGUUACGUGAGUUUCUACAAUGGUGGCCCUGUAUCGCCAGUCCGACUCACCACAAACUCCUCGCAUAGAACAGCCUGGACAUGACCGACUGGUUCCAGUCAGACCCGCGACAGACACUGAGAAGAAACUAUUGAGCGUUAUCAGCGGGCUGUCUGGCCAGAGAGGACCGCUGGAGCAGAAACUGGAGGAGAAGCUGGAGGAGAGGAUAGUCGCCAUGGAAGCCAAAUUAAACACUUUCUCCAGCGGCGAGGAAAUUCAGCGGAAAAGAGGAGAGCACAGUCCUAAAAUUGCGACUGGGCUUGCCUCACAAUGAGACAGUCAGGACAUAUUUAGUUAAAACUUUGGCUGAAGUCCAGAUGUGGAGACAGAUGUCCUUCUAUCUGAUUGUAAAAAGCAUUUUGAAACUCUACGGAGGAACUACCGCAACAGUCAACCCAACAUGGCAGAUCAGGCGGAGGCCAUGAAGUCUUCUGCCCGGAGUCGCCGCAGAAGAAAGAGAUAUUAGUUUGAUUCAUUGCAUUGUGUGUUUUAUACAAAAUGUGGUUAGAAUAGUAUUGCUUGUCGCUGUGACAUUAUUUUUCUGUUAAAUUAUUAUAGUAUUGAUUUCCUGUACUGAUUGUGUUCACAGCUGCUGGAUGCCAGGAAGACAGUCCUUGCUCCAGAUGAAGAGGACUUCUGGAAGGGCAUCACAACUGACAUGAUGUCAGAUGAAGAGGACGGCAGCAUUGACGGGGUGCGUGGAUGGAUAGUACGGCCUCCAUCCUUCCACAGCCAGGAGCUUGCCAACCUGUGUGCAGCCCUACAGGCUGGAGGCUGAUGUAAAGUACACAGCUAUACAUCACAGGCGUUUUCGCAAUGGACAGCCGUCUGAUAGACUGAAGCCACUGAAGUACAACGCAGCAGCCAGAAAACAUUUUUUUUUUUUUUUUUUUAAUAAUUUAUUUUUUUUUUUUGGUUGAACUUUGCACAAUUUUAUUUCAUUUUUGUCAUUUAAAAAAAUGUUUGUAAAUUUUUUGUUUUUAAAGACAGUUUAUUUUAAUUUUGAUUUCAGAUUUCUGGAACUCUAGACUGUUCAAUAAAGCUCUUGUUUCUCAACAUG